GGGUUGUGAGGUUAAGCGACUAAGCGUACACGGUGGAUGCCCUCGCAGUCAGAGGCGAUGAAGGACGUGCUAAUCUGCGAAAAGCGUCGGUAAGGUGAUAUGAACCGUUACAGCCGGCGAUGUCCGAAUGGGGAAACCCAGUGCAAUUCGUUGCACUAUCGUUAACUGAAUACAUAGGUUAACGAGGCGAACCGGGGGAACUGAAACAUCUAAGUACCCCGAGGAAAAGAAAUCAACCGAGAUUCCCCCAGUAGCGGCGAGCGAACGGGGAGCAGCCCAGAGUCUGAAUCAGCUUGUGUGUUAGUGGAACGGUCUGGAAAGUCCGACGGUACAGGGUGAUAGUCCCGUACACCAAAAUGCACAGGUUGUGAACUCGAAGAGUAGGGCGGGACACGUGGUAUCCUGUCUGAAUAUGGGGGGACCAUCCUCCAAGGCUAAAUACUCCUGACUGACCGAUAGUGAACCAGUACCGUGAGGGAAAGGCGAAAAGAACCCCGGCGAGGGGAGUGAAAAAGAACCUGAAACCGUGUACGUACAAGCAGUGGGAGCACCUUCGGGUGUGACUGCGUACCUUUUGUAUAAUGGGUCAGCGACUUAUAUUCUGUAGCAAGGUUAACCGUAUAGGGGAGCCGCAGGGAAACCGAGUCUUAACUGGGCGUUAAGUUGCAGGGUAUAGACCCGAAACCCGGUGAUCUAGCCAUGGGCAGGUUGAAGGUUGGGUAACACUAACUGGAGGACCGAACCGACUAAUGUUGAAAAAUUAGCGGAUGACUUGUGGCUGGGGGUGAAAGGCCAAUCAAACCGGGAGAUAGCUGGUUCUCCCCGAAAGCUAUUUAGGUAGCGCCUCGUGAAUUCAUCUUCGGGGGUAGAGCACUGUUUCGGCUAGGGGGUCAUCCCGACUUACCAACCCGAUGCAAACUACGAAUACCGAAGAAUGUUAUCACGGGAGACACACGGCGGGUGCUAACGUCCGUCGUGAAGAGGGAAACAACCCAGACCGCCAGCUAAGGUCCCAAAGUCAUGGUUAAGUGGGAAACGAUGGGAAGGCACAGACAGCCAGGAUGUUGGCUUAGAAGCAGCCAUCAUUUAAAGAAAGCGUAAUAGCUCACUGGUCGAGUCGGCCUGCGCGGAAGAUGUAACGGGGCUAAACCAUGCACCGAAGCUGCGGCAGCGACACUAUGUGUUGUUGGGUAGGGGAGCGUUCUGUAAGCCUGCGAAGGUGACCUGUGAGGGUUGCUGGAGGUAUCAAGUGCGAAUGCUGACAUAAGUAACGAUAAAGCGGGUGAAAAGCCCGCUCGCCGGAAGACCAAGGGUUCCUGUCCAACGUUAAUCGGGGCAGGGUGAGUCGACCCCUAAGGCGAGGCCGAAAGGCGUAGUCGAUGGGAAACAGGUUAAUAUUCCUGUACUUGGUGUUACUGCGAAGGGGACGGAGAAGGCUAUGUUAGCCGGGCGACGGUUGUCCCGGUUUAAGCAUGUAGGCUGGUUGUCCAGGCAAAUCCGGAUAAUCAAGGCUGAGGUGUGAUGACGAGGCACUACGGUGCUGAAGUAACAAAUGCCCUGCUUCGGGAAAGCCUCUAAGCAUCAGGUAACAUCAAAUCGUACCCCAAACCGACACAGGUGGUCAGGUAGAGAAUACCAAGGCGCUUGAGAGAACUCGGGUGAAGGAACUAGGCAAAAUGGUGCCGUAACUUCGGGAGAAGGCACGCUGGUGUGUAGGUGAAGUCCCUGCGGAUGGAGCUGAGACCAGUCGAAGAUACCAGCUGGCUGCAACUGUUUAUUAAAACACAGCACUGUGCAAACACGAAAGUGGACGUAUACGGUGUGACGCCUGCCCGGUGCCGGAAGGUUAAUUGAUGGGGUUAUCCGUAGGAGAAGCUCUUGAUCGAAGCCCCGGUAAACGGCGGCCGUAACUAUAACGGUCCUAAGGUAGCGAAAUUCCUUGUCGGGUAAGUUCCGACCUGCACGAAUGGCGUAAUGAUGGCCAGGCUGUCUCCACCCGAGACUCAGUGAAAUUGAACUCGCUGUGAAGAUGCAGUGUACCCGCGGCAAGACGGAAAGACCCCGUGAACCUUUACUAUAGCUUGACACUGAACAUUGAGCCUUGAUGUGGUAGGAUAGGUGGAGGCUUUGAAGCGUGGACGCCAGUCUGCGUGGAGCCAACCUUGAAAUACCACCCUUUAAUGUUUGAUGUUCUAACGUUGGCCCCUGACCGGGGUUGCGGACAGUGUCUGGUGGGUAGUUUGACUGGGGCGGUCUCCUCCCAAAGCGUAACGGAGGAGCACGAAGGUUAGCUAAUCCUGGUCGGACAUCAGGAGGUUAGUGCAAUGGCAUAAGCUAGCUUGACUGCGAGCGUGACGGCGCGAGCAGGUGCGAAAGCAGGUCAUAGUGAUCCGGUGGUUCUGAAUGGAAGGGCCAUCGCUCAACGGAUAAAAGGUACUCCGGGGAUAACAGGCUGAUACCGCCCAAGAGUUCAUAUCGACGGCGGUGUUUGGCACCUCGAUGUCGGCUCAUCACAUCCUGGGGCUGAAGUAGGUCCCAAGGGUAUGGCUGUUCGCCAUUUAAAGUGGUACGCGAGCUGGGUUUAGAACGUCGUGAGACAGUUCGGUCCCUAUCUGCCGUGGGCGCUGGAGAAUUGAGGGGGGCUGCUCCUAGUACGAGAGGACCGGAGUGGACGCAUCACUGGUGUUCGGGUUGUCAUGCCAAUGGCACUGCCCGGUAGCUAAAUGCGGAAGAGAUAAGUGCUGAAAGCAUCUAAGCACGAAACUUGCCCCGAGAUGAGUUCUCCCUGAGACUUUAAGUCUCCUGAAGGAACGUUAAAGACGAUGACGUUGAUAGGCCGGGUGUGUAAGCGCAGCGAUGCGUUGAGCUAACCGGUACUAAUGAACCGUGAGGCUUAACCUUACAACGCCGAAG
rnacentral:rRNA from 1 species